rnacentral:rRNA from 1 species
CCCCGGCGAGGGGAGUGAAAAAGAACCUGAAACCGUGUACGUACAAGCAGUGGGAGCCUCUUAAUGGGGUGACUGCGUACCUUUUGUAUAAUGGGUCAGCGACUUAUAUUCUGUAGCAAGGUUAACCGAAUAGGGGAGCCGAAGGGAAACCGAGUCUUAACUGGGCGUUAAGUUGCAGGGUAUAGACCCGAAACCCGGUGAUCUAGCCAUGGGCAGGUUGAAGGUUGGGUAACACUAACUGGAGGACCGAACCGACUAAUGUUGAAAAAUUAGCGGAUGACUUGUGGCUGGGGGUGAAAGGCCAAUCAAACCGGGAGAUAGCUGGUUCUCCCCGAAAGCUAUUUAGGUAGCGCCUCGUGAAUUCAUCUCCGGGGGUAGAGCACUGUUUCGGCAAGGGGGUCAUCCCGACUUACCAACCCGAUGCAAACUGCGAAUACCGGAGAAUGUUAUCACGGGAGACACACGGCGGGUGCUAACGUCCGUCGUGAAGAGGGAAACAACCCAGACCGCCAGCUAAGGUCCCAAAGUCAUGGUUAAGUGGGAAACGAUGUGGGAAGGCCCAGACAGCCAGGAUGUUGGCUUAGAAGCAGCCAUCAUUUAAAGAAAGCGUAAUAGCUCACUGGUCGAGUCGGCCUGCGCGGAAGAUGUAACGGGGCUAAACCAUGCACCGAAGCUGCGGCAGCGACGCUUAUGCGUUGUUGGGUAGGGGAGCGUUCUGUAAGCCUGUGAAGGUGUGCUGUGAGGCAUGCUGGAGGUAUCAGAAGUGCGAAUGCUGACAUAAGUAACGAUAAAGCGGGUGAAAAGCCCGCUCGCCGGAAGACCAAGGGUUCCUGUCCAACGUUAAUCGGGGCAGGGUGAGUCGACCCCUAAGGCGAGGCCGAAAGGCGUAGUCGAUGGGAAACAGGUUAAUAUUCCUGUACUUGGUGUUACUGCGAAGGGGGGACGGAGAAGGCUAUGUUGGCCGGGCGACGGUUGUCCCGGUUUAAGCGUGUAGGCUGGUUUUCCAGGCAAAUCCGGAAAACCAAGGCUGAGGCGUGAUGACGAGGCACUACGGUGCUGAAGCGACAAAUGCCCUGCUUCCAGGAAAAGCCUCUAAGCAUCAGGUAACAUCAAAUCGUACCCCAAACCGACACAGGUGGUCAGGUAGAGAAUACCAAGGCGCUUGAGAGAACUCGGGUGAAGGAACUAGGCAAAAUGGUGCCGUAACUUCGGGAGAAGGCACGCUGAUAUGUAGGUGAAGCGACUUGCUCGUGGAGCUGAAAUCAGUCGAAGAUACCAGCUGGCUGCAACUGUUUAUUAAAAACACAGCACUGUGCAAACACGAAAGUGGACGUAUACGGUGUGACGCCUGCCCGGUGCCGGAAGGUUAAUUGAUGGGGUUAGCGGCAACGCGAAGCUCUUGAUCGAAGCCCCGGUAAACGGCGGCCGUAACUAUAACGGUCCUAAGGUAGCGAAAUUCCUUGUCGGGUAAGUUCCGACCUGCACGAAUGGCGUAAUGAUGGCCAGGCUGUCUCCACCCGAGACUCAGUGAAAUUGAACUCGCUGUGAAGAUGCAGUGUACCCGCGGCAAGACGGAAAGACCCCGUGAACCUUUACUAUAGCUUGACACUGAACAUUGAGCCUUGAUGUGUAGGAUAGGUGGGAGGCUUUGAAGUGUGGACGCCAGUCUGCAUGGAGCCGACCUUGAAAUACCACCCUUUAAUGUUUGAUGUUCUAACGU